AGCGCACACGGUGGAUGCCUUGGCGGUCAGAGGCGAUGAAGGACGUGGCAGCCUGCGAAAAGUAUCGGGGAGCUGGCAACAAGCUUUGAUCCGGUAAUGUCCGAAUGGGGAAACCCACCCGCUUGCGGGUAUCCUGCAGUGAAUACAUAGCUGCUGGAAGCGAACCUGGUGAACUGAAAUAUCUAAGUAACCAGAGGAAAAGAAAUCAACCGAGAUUCCGUAAGUAGCGACGAGCGAACGCGGACUAGCCCUUAAGCUGAUUUGGUUCUAGGAAAACGCUCUGGAAAGAGCGGCCAUAGAAGGUGAUAGCCCUGUAUCUGAAAGGGCCAUUUCAGUGAAGACGAGUAGGGCGGGGCACGUGAAACCCUGUCUGAACAUGGGGGGACCAUCCUCCAAGGCUAAAUACUACUGACCGACCGAUAGUGAACCAGUACCGUGAGGGAAAGGCGAAAAGAACCCCGGAGAGGGGAGUGAAAUAGAACCUGAAACCGUGUGCGUACAAGCAGUAGGAGCUCCGCAAGGAGUGACUGCGUACCUUUUGUAUAAUGGGUCAGCGACUUACUGUUCGUGGCAAGCUUAACCGUAUAGGGGAGGCGAAGGGAAACCGAGUCUGAUAAGGGCGCAUAGUCGCGGGCAGUAGACCCGAAACCGGGUGAUCUAGUCAUGCCCAGGGUGAAGGUGCGGUAACACGCACUGGAGGCCCGAACCCACUCCCGUUGCAAAGGUAGGGGAUGAGGUGUGAUUAGGAGUGAAAAGCUAAUCGAACCCGGAGAUAGCUGGUUCUCCUCGAAAGCUAUUUAGGUAGCGCCUCAUAUGUAUCCUCUCGGGGGUAGAGCACUGUUAUGGCUAGGGGGUCAUCGCGACUUACCAAACCAUUGCAAACUCCGAAUACCGAGACGGACUGUAUGGGAGACACACGGCGGGUGCUAACGUCCGUCGUGAAAAGGGAAACAACCCAGACCCACAGCUAAGGUCCCAAAUUUUGUGCUAAGUGGAAAACCAUGUGGAAAGGCACAGACAGCCAGGAGGUUGGCUUAGAAGCAGCCACCCUUUAAAGAAAGCGUAAUAGCUCACUGGUCGAGUCGGUCUGCGGGGAAGAUUUAACGGGGCUAAGCACAGAACCGAAGCUUGGGGUGCAUACUUUGUAUGCGCGGUAGAGGAGCGUUCCGUAAGCCGUUGAAGGUGGAUUGAGAAGUCUGCUGGAGGUAUCGGAAGUGCGAAUGCUGACAUGAGUAACGAUAAUGCGGGUGAAAAACCCGCACGCCGAAAGCCCAAGGUUUCCUUGCGCAACGUUAAUCGGCGCAGGGUGAGUCGGCCCCUAAGGCGAGGACGAAAGUCGUAGUCGAUGGGAAGCAGGUUAAUAUUCCUGCACCUCGCGUAAGUGCGAUGGAGGGACGGAGAAGGUUAGGUGUACCAGGCGUUGGUUGUCCUGGGGAAAGGCGGUAGGUUUGGAUCUUUGGCAAAUCCGGGAUCCUUUAAGACCGAGCACCGAGACGAGCCUUUAUGGCGAAGUCACUGAUACCACGCUUCCAGGAAAAGCUCCUAAGCUUCAGCUUACGCAGACCGUACCGUAAACCGACACAGGUGGGUAGGAUGAGAAUUCUCAGGCGCUUGAGAGAACUCGGGUGAAGGAACUAGGCAACAUGGCACCGUAACUUCGGGAGAAGGUGCACCCUUUUUGGUGGCUCGUGCGAGCUAUAGCUGAAGAGGGUCGCAGUAACCAGGCCGCUGCGACUGUUUAUCAAAAACACAGCACUCUGCAAACACGAAAGUGGACGUAUAGGGUGUGACGCCUGCCCGGUGCUGGAAGGUUAAUUGAUGGGGUCAGCCGCAAGGCGAAGCUCUUGAUCGAAGCCCCAGUAAACGGCGGCCGUAACUAUAACGGUCCUAAGGUAGCGAAAUUCCUUGUCGGGUAAGUUCCGACCUGCACGAAUGGCGUAACGACAGCGGCGCUGUCUCCACCCGAGACUCAGUGAAAUUGAAAUCGCUGUGAAGAUGCAGCGUUCCCGUGGCAAGACGGAAAGACCCCGUGAACCUUUACUAUAGCUUUACACUGAACGUUGAGUUCGUCUGUGUAGGAUAGGUGGGAGGCUAUGAAACCAUGGCGCUAGCUGUGGCGGAGCCAUCCUUGAAAUACCACCCUGUCGUGCUUGACGUUCUAACCUGGGCCCAUUAUCUGGGUCGGGGACCGUGUAUGGUGGGUAGUUUGACUGGGGCGGUCUCCUCCUAAAGAGUAACGGAGGAGCUCGAAGGUACGCUCAGCGCGGUCGGACAUCGCGCACUGUGUGCAAAGGCAUAAGCGUGCUUGACUGCAAGAUCGACGGAUCAAGCAGGUAGGAAACUAGGACUUAGUGAUCCGGUGGUUCUGUAUGGAAGGGCCAUCGCUCAACGGAUAAAAGGUACUCCGGGGAUAACAGGCUGAUACCGCCCAAGAGUUCAUAUCGACGGCGGUGUUUGGCACCUCGAUGUCGGCUCAUCACAUCCUGGGGCUGUAGUCGGUCCCAAGGGUAUGGCUGUUCGCCAUUUAAAGUGGUACGCGAGCUGGGUUCAGAACGUCGUGAGACAGUUCGGUCCCUAUCUGCCAUGGGCGUUGGAGAUUUGAGAGGGGCUGCUCCUAGUACGAGAGGACCGGAGUGGACGAACCUCUGGUGUUCCGGUUGUCACGCCAGUGGCAUUGCCGGGUAGCUAUGUUCGGAAGCGAUAACCGCUGAAAGCAUCUAAGCGGGAAGCGCGCCUCAAGAUGAGAUCUCCCGGGGCACAAGCCCCCUGAAGGAACCAUGUAGACUACGUGGUUGAUAGGUCAGGUGUGUAAGUACAGCAAUGUAUUGAGCUAACUGAUACUAAUGAUCCGUGCGGCUUGACC
rnacentral:rRNA from 1 species